CCUUCGAUAGCUCAGUUGGUAGAGCGGUGGACUGUAGUUGUUGAAAAAUUGAUUCGAAAGAUAUCCAUAGGUCGCUGGUUCAAAUCCGGCUCGAAGGA
rnacentral:tRNA from 1 species